rnacentral:rRNA from 1 species
UGCUCAGUAACGCGUAGUCACCUACCCUAUGGACGGGAAUAACCUCGGGAAACUGAGAAUAAUACCCGACAGAACACUAUACCUGGAAUGGUUUGUGUUUCAAAUGAUUUAUCAGCCGUAGGAUGGGACUGCGGCCUAUCACGUUUGUUGGUGAGGUAAUGGCCCACCAAGACUAUUACAGGUACGGGCUCUGAGAGGAGUGGCCCGGAGAUGGGUACUGAGACACGGACCCAGGCCCUAUGGGGCGCAGCAGGCGAGAAAACUUUGCAAUGUGCGAAAGCACGACAAGGUUAAUCCGAGUGCGUUCUCUUGCUCAACAGGAACC